rnacentral:lncRNA from 1 species
AAAUUCUUGGACCCAUGGCAAAAAAAGAAUAAAAAACAUGUAAGCAAAUUCAAUCGGUACUUUUCCGACACUGAAGCUCAAGAGCAACAGGAAUCAAGUAGCGAUAAGGAGCCUGAAAACCCGAAGGAAAGAUGAGACCAAGAUAAGGUCAGAUAUAAAAGCACUGGAGAAAAGAUCUGGAAACGCCUAUCUCGCAAAUCGGAAGCUCUUUCAUCCGGUAGCCUGAGAAAAACCUUUCCUCUAAGAAGUCGGUGGAGGCCCGA